rnacentral:rRNA from 1 species
UCCUCCAAGGCUAAAUACUCCUGAUUGACCGAUAGUGAACCAGUACUGUGAAGGAAAGGCGAAAAGAACCCCAGUGAGGGGAGUGAAAUAGAACCUGAAACCGUGUACGUACAAGCAGUGGGAGCCCUUUUGGGUGACUGCGUACCUUUUGUAUAAUGGGUCAGCGACUUAUAUUUUGUAGCGAGGUUAACUGAAUAAGGGAGCCGAAGGGAAACCGAGUCUUAACUGGGCGGUGAGUUGCAAGGUAUAGACCCGAAACCCGGUGAUCUAGCCAUGGGCAGGUUGAAGGUUGGGUAACACUAACUGGAGGACCGAACCGACUAAUGUUGAAAAAUUAGCGGAUGACUUGUGGCUGGGGGUGAAAGGCCAAUCAAACCGGGAGAUAGCUGGUUCUCCCCGAAAUCUAUUUAGGUAGAGCCUUAUGUGAAUACCUUCGGGGGUAGAGCACUGUUUCGGCUAGGGGUCCAUCCCGGAUUACCAACCCGAUGCAAACUGCGAAUACCGAAGAGUAAUGCAUAGGAGACACACGGUGGGUGCUAACGUCCAUCGUGGAGAGGGAAACAACCCAGACCGCCAGCUAAGGUCCCAAAGUCUAUAUUAAGUGGGAAACGAAGUGGGAAGGCUUAGACAGCUAGGAUGUUGGCUUAGAAGCAGCC